rnacentral:lncRNA from 1 species
ACUGGAGUCAAAGGGCACUCUGCUUCCCCGCGCGCUCCCCUCCCCUCUGCACUCCCGCCCCCAAUAUAUACUCUUUGUUGCCUGACCUAAGUCACUUCUGCCUUCUCCGUUGCCUCGGACCCUGCCCCCCAUCAUGCCACUCCCCAGGUCAAGCCUAGUGUCCUCCAGAAGCCUCAAGGGGUAGCCUGAGCCUUGGGCAAGAGGCAAGGGGGCUAGCCUGGGCUGGCAGCGGCAGGAGGUCUCACCGCCUGGUGCCCGCUGGGUUAGACUGUGGUUACAAGGAAGAGGAGAUCCCAGAACUGGAGAUUGACGUGGAUGAGCUCCUGGACAUGGAGAGUGACGAUGCCCGGGCUGCCAGGGUCAAGGUGAGGGGGCUGGGGGGCGAUGGGUUGCCUGAGGCACUGCCCCGGGAAAGUGAGGCUGUGGAGCCAGGCCCUCAAGCCCCAGCUCCUGCCUCAACAGAAUGGGGCCAAUGCCUAGCUGUGAGGUUGUUGUGGCAUCUCCUGUGCCUCAGGGUGGCCCCAGUCUCUUGGAAGUGGGUAUAGGCGAGCUCCAGGCCCCCACUCCUGAGGACUCACUUAUCCUUCCUCCCCCAUCCUCUGCUAGGAGCUGCUGGUUGACUGUUACAAA